GCUGAUGUGGCUCAGUGGUAGAGCAGCGCACUCGUAAUGCGCAGGUCGAGGGUUCGAAUCCCUCCAUCAGCU
rnacentral:tRNA from 2 species